rnacentral:rRNA from 1 species
GUGGGGAAUAUUGGGCAAUGGGCGCAAGCCUGACCCAGCAACGCCGCGUGAGGGAAGAAGGUUUUCGGAUUGUAAACCUCUGUCGCAAGGGACGAAGAAGUGACGGUACCUUGUGAGGAAGCCCCGGCUAACUACGUGCCAGCAGCCGCGGUAAUACGUAGGGGGCGAGCGUUGUCCGGAAUUACUGGGCGUAAAGGGUGCGUAGGCGGCUAAUUAAGUUGGAUGUGAAAUACCCGGGCUUAACUUGGGGGGUGCAUUCAAAACUGGUUAGCUAGAGUGCAGGAGAGGGAAGCGGAAUUCCUAGUGUAGCGGUGAAAUGCGUAGAUAUUAGGAGGAACACCAGUGGCGAAGGCGGCUUUCUGGACUGACACUGACGCUGAUGCACGAAAGCGUGGGGAGCAAACAGGAUUAGAUACCCUGGUAGUCC